UACAGAGGAGCCAAGCGUUGUCCGGAUUGACUGGGCGUAAAGCGCACGCAGGCGGAUGCGCGCGUGGGGUGUGAAAUCUGGCCGCUUAACGGCCAGGCGCCAUCCCAUACGGCGCGUCUGGAGUGAUGCAGAGGUCGAUGGAAUUGCCGGUGUAGUGGUGAAAUGCGUAGAGAUCGGCGGGAACACCCAGGGGGAAACCAGUCGACUGGGCAUCUACUGACGCUGAGGUGCGAGAGCGUGGGGAGCGAACCGG
rnacentral:rRNA from 1 species